GAUUAAUUUGAGGUGGUAGGUUUGAGGUGGUAGGUUCGAGGUGUUUGAUAUUUAUUUUGAGGUAGUUGAUCAGUUGAGGUGGUAGAAUUGAGGUGUUUGAUAUUUGUUUUGAGGUGGUUGAAGAUCGGUUGAGGUGGUAGGUUCGAGGUGUUUGAUAUUUGUUUUGAGGUGGUUGAAGAUUGGUUGAGGUAGUAGGUUUGAGGUGGUUUAAGAUUAAUUUGAGGUGGUAGGUUUGAGGUGGUAGGUUCGAGGUGUUUGAUAUUUAUUUUGAGGUAGUUGAUCAGUUGAGGUGGUAGAAUUGAGGUGUUUGAUAUUUGUUUUGAGGUGGUUGAAGAUCGGUUGAGGUGGUAGGUUCGAGGUGUUUGAUAUUUAUUUUGAGGUAGUUGAUCAGUUGAGGUGGUAGAAUUGAGGUGUUUGAUAUUUGUUUUGAGGUGGUUGAAGAUCGGUUGAGGUGGUAGGUUUGAGGUGUUUGAUAUUUGUUUUGAGGUGGUUUAAGAUCGGUUGAGGUGGUAGGUUUGAGGUGAUUGAUAUUUGUUUUGAGGUGGUUGAAGAUCGGUUGAGGUGGUAGGUUUGAGGUGAUUGAUAUUUAUUUUGAGGUGGUUUAAGAUCGGUUGAGGUGGUAGGUUUGAGGUGAUUGAUAUUUAUUUUGAGGUGGUUGAAGAUUGGUUGAGGUGGUAGGUUUGAGGUGAUUGAUAUUUGUUUUGAGGUGGUUGAAGAUCGGUUGAGGUGGUAGAAUUGAGGUGUUUGAUAUUUGUUUUGAGGUGGUUUAAGAUCUGUUGUCUUGAGAUGGUAGGUUUGAGGUGAUUGAUAUUUGUUUUGAGGUGGUUGAAGAUUGGUUGAGGUGGUAGGUUUGAGGUGGUAGGUUUGAGGUGUUUGAUAUUUGUUUUGAGGUGGUUGAAGAUCGGUUGAGGUGGUAGAAUUGAGGUGUUUGAUAUUUGUUUUGAGGUGGUUGAUGGCUUUUUGAUGUCUGUUGAGUUUACUACGCUCCCAUCCCAGUUGUUUGAGUUGAUUGACCUACUUUCCCUUGUCCUCAUAUGGAGGUCACUAGGGUGUUGUUAUCUGUGCACGUUACAGGGAAGUGUAGUAUUGUAGGGAUACAGGAAUGCCAUUCAUGGGGAGGAUCUGGCCCAGACAGGAAUUUAUCAAGAGGAAAGGUUUGAUGGAAAGAUAGAACUGGUCUUCCAGACUCAUCUCAUCUCCAACUCUGUCAACUCAAGAUUAAUUAACUGGGCCUGUAUUCAUGAAACGUACGCUCUCAUGUGCAAGCAUGGAUUUUGUGCUCAAACCAACUUUCUAGUAACUUACUUAAAUAAUUUUUAACUAUCAAAAAGCCGAAUGUAAACAUUGAAAACAGUUUAUAUUUGGCUUAAACUAUCUCAAGAUUAAUUUCCAAAUCAUUGUCAAAAUAUU